UGCUAAUAUGGACUAUGGGCAACACUCAACAGUCUGCGAUGAACUGCCAUGAGUCUAUAUUGGAACUGUGAGCAUUCAAUGUUGAAUAACGUUUUCUGUUUCUCGGAUGAUUUACGUGCUGUAACAGACGGUAGAAGCCCUUGAAACCGAAUCUUUGUUGCAAAAAGGGCCCUUUUUCUCUGUUCUCACUAAAGAAUUUGUUUUACUAGUCCCACUUUAUGCGAAAAAGCAUGUUCCUAUGUCAAAUAAGUGUUGAAAUUUUUUUAAUUAGCACAUGAGUUGUCAACCUAAGCAAGAUUUGCCAGUCCAAAUACUUCUACUACUAUUGCCUUACAAUGCAUAAAGCAUGUUGACUGUUCUUUUUUUUAGGAAGUACAACCUACUUUUGAUGUUUUAAGUUCUUUGUCUUUGAGCAUAUUAUUGCCAGAAUUUCAUGCAAGAGAAUUUGGGUUUUGUAUUACUUGUGACAUCCAUUACCAUCUCUUUUUGUCAGUGGGACUAUUGUUUUUCUCCCCAAAAUGGACCCAAAGAUGCCUUUAUCUCCAGGGCUGUUAAAUUCUGGUUGAAAUUUUCCAAUUCAUGGAAUUAAUUAAGUGAUUUUGAUUUUCUGAACUCUACUAAUUAAACUAGGCUGUUCUUAUUUUUUAAAUAGAUUUAAUGGAUUAGGUGAUUCCAUUCAAUUCAUUCAUUCGGUGUUGUUUUUUUGUUGGAUACUUGCAUAAUGUUAAUUAAUUAAUUAAUUAAGUUAUGUGAGGUUACAUAUGCAAUGCAUAUGUAACCUCACAUAACUAGGUGUAAUCUUCACCUUGAAUAGGUUUUCAUUCUUGACUCAUGAUUAUGCACACCAAUUGUUUGUUUAGAUGAGAACAAACUUAAGCAUAGCAGCUCAUUUGAAUUCAUACAAGUAUUACAAGAAGAUCCUUUAAAUUACUGUGUUGGAGCUAGCAAAACAGAAAAUGAUUAUUUUGCAGAUUAGAUUGAGCAACACAGAAGUGAAAAAAAAUAGCUGCUUUCCUUAAAAGUAGUGAGUAAUAAAACCCGGUUUCUAGUUGACCAAGCAACGAGCGUUAACGGAUGUCGAAAAAACUCGUGUUAAAACAGCGAAAUCUUACUGUUCUCUAUCUAGCGGCGAUAAAAAGGUUUUUUUUUUUCUUCUUAGUUUGGACAUUUGGACAUAGGUCACUUUAGGUCAGGUAAACCAAGUUCCAGACUGGACGGUGACGACCAAAUUUUGAUAAGUUUAUGGUUUUGAAGUUAAAAACUAAAAAAAUCACAAAUACUUCAUGUGUACUGUCAAAUAGAAAUGGAUCACCGUUGGAUUUUGACCAUCGACCAACACAUUUGGCAUUGCUUUGCUGAAAAGUUUGUAUUUCUUUGAAAAGUAAAUGAUUAAUUUAAGUUAAAGAUUUAGUAUGUUCUGUUGUUUUUGUUUAAAUUGUUGUAAAUUGGUUACAAACUAAAAAAACACUUGUAUUAUCAACAUUCCGUGUAAUUCGUCGUAGAUUCAAUACCACUACCAUUAGGUCUACACCGAAUAGUCGACGUGAGACUGAUAGAUUGAAUUACCGAGUUUUUAUUAGUUUCGUUUUUUGUUGUUGUUGAAACUAACAAUCUUAGAUAAUUUUCUAAACAAACUAGUCAAUUCAAAAACAUUAUUUAUUAAAUUGAAAGUAAGAUGUAUUUUGCUCUUGAACUUAAAUUCGAUUAUCAGCGUAGAAUUUGUUUGUUGUUACCAGUCACGAUAAUUGUAUAAUAUCUUAGGUCAAAUAACCUCCUGGAAGAUAUCUAGAUCUUCGUUCAUUUACUAUUUCUUCUACGAUAGAUCACUUGACGUUUGAUAACAUUGCAGUCUAAUGAAUUUACCUCCUGCGUAGAUCCAAGGUAGCCAUAACGGGUUGAUUGUUUGGAGAUUCACGUCGCUCAUUAAAUGAUGCAAAGUAGGCAGUGGUCGAGUUAUUUGAUCUGGAUGUUGAUUGAGGAGCCAAAAGAAAAAUGGUAUUGGGAUGCCACAGGAUACAAAACGGAUAUAUGCUACAAGAAGCACUAAAGUGAAUCAGGCGACGGAAAACGAGAAGCAACUGUCCUUGUUUGCCCGAUUGGCAUCCAUUGCUAGACAUAAUUUUUUCGACGAUAAUCUUGGGAGAAGAGAUUCGUGGCUUCGAUCGGAACCACCGUUUACAGAUGGUUCCACCAACGUGCAUGGUCGCCGAACUUGGUGGUUUUGUGCGAUACGUUUGUCUAAGUGGCAGAUAGAACGGCUAAUAAUUUAAAUCUCACUUGGGAUAAUCUACUUCUCGGACAAGUACUUUGAGGCCGGAAUUAAUUGAGUCCACUUUGCAUAUGGCUUCUUCGUGGGGUGUGUUAAUUCGAAUCAUUAGCGCCGAAGAACCUUUCAUGGAAGCUGAUUUCGGUGAGACGCAAGUGUUGAUUCGUCUGAUGGUCGAUUAUGCCAACAUGGCAGCGAAGAAACAUGCCUUGCUCAAUCGGAUUGAAAUCGCGACGUCGGAAGAAGAGCGUAUUCUUCUGGAAGAACUGUCCAGUCGCAACCAGUAUGUUGCCACGCUACUGCCUAUUUGCGCCGUCGGUGUUCAGGAAGAUUGCCGAACUUAUAGCUACUGCGUAGCACUGAGCUCUGAUCAGACACAACCAAACUGGAAUGAUCUAGCUACCUACGCCCGCUUAAUGGCGCGUGUGUGCCAUAAUGUCGAUCGUGUUUGCUACAUAUUCAGAAAGGCUGUGCGUGACAAACGUUACAUCUACCUACUUAACGAGUAACAUUUUGGCGACUUUGAGCGAUUCGAGUCAACGCAUUCCAUCAUGCCAACGAUCAGUCGUUUUUCGACCAUUUCUUUCACAGGAUUUUACGACUGGACUUCCUACAAUUCCUGAUACCCAUUUGCCCCAAGAGGUUGUAGACAAGAUGGUUGAAACCGUCUUAUCUGUGUCAGGAAUUUCCAGAGUCUUGUAUGACCUGACGGUGAAACAACCCGGGAAAACGGAGUGGGAAUAAUUUUAUUUACGAACGUUGCGUAGGCAAAUGAUUUCCGCACUCUUCAUAGGACACGGAUACGGAGUUGUAUCAUUGGCCAGAUUUAUAUGGGAAAUAUUAUAAACAGUGUAUUCAGCAUAGACUUUUGAAAUUGAAAAAUCAAUCAGCUUUGUCAUUUCGUGAAAAUCUCCUAACCCGCUUCUUAAGAGGAGUUCACGUGAUGACUUGUUGACUAUUCCUUAAAUAUUCAUGCACACUUGUUGGAAAUAAUGGGUGCAUUUGUUUUUCGUCGAACAAAUUAAACAUUUUAAUGUGUAGCUAGGUUGGUUGUUGUUUCUCUCCCUUGUAGAACUACUCUUUUUCGCCUAAUUGUUUAUCUAAUUCUUUUGGAACGCUCGGAGGUCGUCCAAAACAAGCGUAAGGUCAUUUGAUGCGUUAUGCCAUUUCCUGAAAUUGAACAUUCAGAAAAUGUGUUUGUUCGCAAAAGGUUAAGAUCUAUUCAGAUUUGUACCAUAAAGUAUGACUGUCGGAAAGGGUACGUAGGCUUCUAAAAGUGAAGAAGAGCUUUGAAGUCUUUGGUAAGCGAAAAGGUACUGCAAAGGGAAGCGUCGCAUGACAGUUUCAUGGAUGGACUCUUUCCUUUGCUUUGCCCUAUGAUUCUGUGCUUUGAACUGGCAGAUGGCGUUUAGCAGUGGCACCCAAUUUUUAUCUUAAAAGCCAGAGGUGUUAUUCACUUUUCAGGGGAAUUGAUUGAUGAUACUUGUUGAUUAAACCAUGAACAAUACCAAUAGAUGGAUAAGUGGAGGGUUAUUGAAGUAUAAAACUAAUUUCUCAUGGCAUUUCCAUUCACGCAUGUGGGACAGUUCGUGAGCAGACGAACCAUUGAAAGAGCCUUGCGCAGUCUAGUUGCAUCCAGCCAGAUACUAGUAGAACCCAAAACAUUGUCUUGACAAGUACUGCCAUAUUUCGGUUGCAGGUUUUCAGUAAAUACCAAGGAAGGUUUGGUAGCUAUUAUUCCGUGUUUUUCUUGCUUUCAACACUGCAGGCUGGUCCUACGAGCUACGAAAGUUUUACCUACAAAUGUUUAGCGUUUCGUGCUGCAACUAGUAGUUGAUAUUCAAGGAUGUUAUGCCUAAAAUUGGAAUUCAGCUAUCAGAGAUUAGCAAAAUUCAAACGGAAACUCUAGAUGGCGUUGAUGUGCGUCUAUGAUGAAGAUUAUGAGUCACAAGUUAAAUGGGUGUUUGUUACGUUACCCUGUUAUGUGUUUCAAAGGAUUUUUCGUCAAAAAUUUUACGAUUGCUUUUUGUAUGUGGGGGUGUUGCGCCUUGUCAGCUAUGCCAGCUGCUGAACCAGUAGCCUGCAUUCCUGCUAUCAAUGUACCACAAGUGAUCCUGACACUUUAAGAAGACAAUUAUUGCUUACAUGAAGAUCACCAUCCAGUUCAAGUACUGUUAAUGGACCUCAAGCCAUUCGUUUAAGCUUAGGGAUGUGUUCUCUCACCAGUCAACGACAGUCUUCAUCUACUUUUGUUGCUAACCAUCAGCCUUCAGCAUCCCAGGUAUCCAGAUUUCCAAGUUUCUCUGAUUAGUUAACCAUCAUCCAUACCCUUCAGCUCUUCAUUGUGGCUUCUCUUCCUCUCAUCUUAGUCUGCUGAAUGCCAACAUUGAAUAACGUUCAUCAUCAUUACCUUUCCAUGAAAAUCUUCAUUUUUUAUCCUGCGGUUCUUCUCACCGUUACUUAGCCAGCUCACAUGGAUAGGGUUUAACAACAACUCCAUUUUUUGGACUGCAAAUAUUAAUUUUCUUUCGGUACAACACUGCCGUUUUGACAAUUUCGGGAGUUUCGCCCCCAGUGAACCAAACGCAACUACAUUUUCUUCGUCUUCCUGUCGUUGUUGGCUACGACUUCACCUCAUCGCUGUCUUCGUUGACGUCUUCGCCUUCAUCUCCGUCUCGUCGUCUUGGUCGUCUUCGCCUUCAUCUCCGUCUCGUUGUCUUGGUCGUCUUCGCCUUCAUCUCCGUCUCGUCGUUUUCGCCGUCUUUGUCUACGCCAUCACCUUGUCGCCGGCUUCUCCUUCACCCUUUACAAGGGAAUUCACCGUGGAUCGUCGCUCUGGUAUUGUUUUAUUUUGCAUUGUAAUUGUUAAGUUAACCCGUUGGCUGCCACCCCGUUUGCGUCCCAUUUUUGUUGUAGCUUGUAGGGACCGGCCGCAAUGGCCUUCGCCGCAAGGCGCCUUAGG
rnacentral:lncRNA from 1 species